CGCCGUUCCAUAUUUACCUCUGCUAUAGCUUUGGCACUUGAAGUGCGUUUUUCGCAAGUAUAAUGCGAGCUCCACCACCACACACCAUCAUAAUAAGGUUUAUGAUAUUUACAGAACAGACCUGGGCUACAUGCAGUGCUGGUAAAAUAUUCCCUGCACCUUUCGCCUUCAACUUUGCCACAUCCCAAGCAACACCCGCAUAAACCGUAUACCAGACCGCCCUUGCAUCGUCGUUUCAACGACUCUAUACUCUCACACUGUGCCCAGUCGCAAUAAAUGCAUUGGAAUCCUUGUGCUCCAUAAACUGACACGACAAACAAGAAAGCGAGUGACACUACGGUAUUCAUAUUUUCGUACAAUUACUUCGAAAGUGUAUUCCUUCGUUUGUUAAUUAAACGUUUCAGUGUGACGGCCUUGAUCAACGACAACUUAUAUAUAGUUUAAACAGUAUGUCUUCAAUCAAUUUGAUAUACGUGUUUCCCGAUAAUAUUUCCCAAUCGACUGCUUUCGUCUGUUUCAUACAACCAAUGACUUCGUC